UACGUAGGGUGCGAGCGUUGUCCGGAAUUAUUGGGCGUAAAGAGCUCGUAGGCGGUUUGUCGCGUCUGCCGUGAAAGUCCGGGCUCAACUCCGGAUCUGCGGUGGGUACGGGUAGACUAGAGUGAUGUAGGGGAGACUGGAAUUCCUGGUGUAGCGGUGAAAUGCGCAGAUAUCAGGAGGAACACCGAUGGCGAAGGCAGGUCUCUGGCAUUAACUGACGCUGAGGAGCGAAAGCAUGGGGAGCGAACAGG
rnacentral:rRNA from 1 species